rnacentral:rRNA from 1 species
AGAGUUUGAUCCUGGCUCAGGAUAAACGCUGGCGGCGCACAUAAGACAUGCAAGUCGAACGGACUUAAUCGAAAUAUUUAUAUUUUGAAGCGGUUAGUGGCGGACUGGUGAGUAACGCGUAAGGAACCUGCCUAUUAGAGGGGAAUAACAGUGAGAAAUCAUUGCUAAUACCGCAUAUGCCAUAGAUAUCACAUGAUAACAGUGGGAAAGGAGCAAUCCGCUAAUAGAUGGCCUUGCGUCUGAUUAGAUAGUUGGUGGGGUAACGGCCUACCAAGUCGACGAUCAGUAGCCGGACUGAGAGGUUGAACGGCCACAUUGGGACUGAGAUACGGCCCAGACUCCUACGGGAGGCAGCAGUCGGGAAUAUUGCGCAAUGGAGGAAACUCUGACGCAGUGACGCCGCGUAUAGGAAGAAGGUUUUCGGAUUGUAAACUAUUGUCGUUAGGGAAGAGAAAGGACAGUACCUAAGGAGGAAGCUCCGGCUAACUACGUGCCAGCAGCCGCGGUAAUACGUAGGGAGCGAGCGUUAUCCGGAAUUAUUGGGUGUAAAGGGUGCGUAGACGGGAGAACAAGUUAGUUGUGAAAUACCUCGGCUCAACUGAGGAACUGCAACUAAAACUGUACUUCUUGAGUGCAGGAGAGGUAAGUGGAAUUCCUAGUGUAGCGGUGAAAUGCGUAGAUAUUAGGAGGAACACCAGUGGCGAAGGCGGCUUUCUGGACGACAACUGACGCUGAGGCGCGAAAGUGUGGGGAGCAAACAGGAUUAGAUACCCUGGUAGUCCACACCGUAAACGAUGGAUACUAGGUGUAGGAGGUAUUAAGCCUUCUGUGCCGUCGCAAACGCAGUAAGUAUCCCACCUGGGGAGUACGGCCGCAAGGUUGAAACUCAAAGGAAUUGACGGGGGCCCGCACAAGCAGUGGAGUAUGUGGUUUAAUUCGAAGCAACGCGAAGAACCUUACCAGGGCUUGACAUCCUACUAACGAGAUAGAGAUAUGUUAGGUGCCCUUCGGGGAAAGUAGAGACAGGUGGUGCAUGGUUGUCGUCAGCUCGUGUCGUGAGAUGUUGGGUUAAGUCCCGCAACGAGCGCAACCCUU